rnacentral:rRNA from 1 species
UCGGGAAUAUUCGACAAUGGGCGAAAGCCUGAUCGAGCGACGCCGCGUGCAGGAUGAAGGCCCUCGGGUUGUAAACUGCGGUAGUAGGGGAGGAACGCAAGUGACUGUACCCUACGGAAAGUGGUUGGUAACUACGUGCCAGCACCAGCGGUAAUACGUAGACCACAAGCGUUAUCCGGAUUUAUUGGGCGUAAAGAGCACGUAGGCGGUUUUUAAGUCAGAUGUGAAAGCCCCGGGCUCAACCUGGGAAUUGCAUUUGAAACUGGAAAACUAGAGUGUGUGAGAGGGGGGUAGAAUUCCAAGUGUAGCGGUGAAAUGCGUAGAGAUUUGGAGGAAUACCAGUGGCGAAGGCGGCCCCCUGGCACAACACUGACGCUCAGGUGCGAAAGCGUGGGGAGCAAACAGGAUUAGAUACCCAAGUAGUCCCUGAGCGGGCUGGCAAGGCGCAU